AUUCCUGUUUCCGCCCCUCGACAGGUUUAUUUUCAAGGCUAUUCCGGCGCCGGAGCAUCUUGCUGAACUUCACCGGGGCCCGGCCAUCCUGCGGAGCAGCAAGUCGCUGAUGCAAGGUGCAGGUGGAGUGUCAUGUGUUGGAUUGCAAUCGUGAAAUCAGUGCAGAGGCGCAGUCAAGUAGUGUGAGUGGUCAGCCUCUCCGCUCUCCUUUGAUCAGCUGGACGUCCGGCACAUGGCACUGAACAGCUCCUGACUAUUGGCUGCGCUGAAUCAACCCAUCACACCAACAGCAAUUACAGCACCAGGACCUGCCUGCCCAGGCACCCAUAGCCCAGCACCACAGCCUGCGUUCCUCAGUCUCUGACCUCAGCACAGCUCUCCCUCUGCCCAGGCUGUGAGGCCCUGCAGAACCCCUCCCUCCCUCCCUCUCCUCGCCCCCUCUCCUCCCCCACACUGAGU